UACGGGGGGAGCAAGCGUUGUUCGGAUUUACUGGGCGUAAAGGGCGCGUAGGCGGCUUGUUGCGUCGACUGUGAAAACCCGCGGCUUGACCGCGGGCUUGCAGUUGAUACGGGCAGGCUAGAGUUCGGUAGGGGAGACUGGAAUUCCUGGUGUAGCGGUGAAAUGCGUAGAUAUCGGGAGGAACACCUGAGGCGAAGGCGGGCUACUGGGCCGAUACUGACGCUGAUGCGCGAAAGCCAGGGGAGCGAACGGG
rnacentral:rRNA from 1 species